rnacentral:rRNA from 1 species
AACGAACGCUGGCGGCGUGCCUAAUACAUGCAAGUCGAACGAAGCUUUUUUAACUGGUGCUUGCACCGACUUAAACAACUGAGUGGCGAACGGGUGAGUAACACGUGGGUAACCUGCCCCAAGGCGGGGGAUAACAUUUGGAAACAGAUGCUAAUACCGCAUAACCACAGAAACCACAUGGUUUCUGUGUCAAAGAUGGUUUCGGCUAUCACUUUGGGAUGGACCCGCGGCGUAUUAGCUAGUUGGUAAGGUAAUGGCUUACCAAGGCAAUGAUACGUAGCCGAACUGAGAGGUUGAUCGGCCACAUUGGGACUGAGACACGGCCCAAACUCCUACGGGAGGCAGCAGUAGGGAAUCUUCCACAAUGGACGAAAGUCUGAUGGAGCAACGCCGCGUGAGUGAAGAAGGUUUUCGGAUCGUAAAACUCUGUUGUCAGAGAAGAACGUGUGCGAGAGUAACUGUUCGUGCAGUGACGGUAUCUGGCCAGAAAGCCACGGCUAACUACGUGCCAGCCGCCGCGGUAA